UACGUAGGUGGCAAGCGUUGUCCGGAUUUACUGGGCGUAAAGAGCGCGCAGGCGGUCGAGUAAGUCGCGUGUGAAAGCCCCCGGCUCAACUGGGGAGGGUCACGCGAUACUGUUCGACUCGAAGGCAGGAGAGGGUAGUGGAAUUCCCGGUGUAGUGGUGAAAUGCGUAGAUAUCGGGAGGAACACCUGUGGCGAAAGCGGCUCACUGGACCACAACCGACGCUGAGGCGCGAAAGCUAGGGGAGCAAACGGG
rnacentral:rRNA from 1 species